rnacentral:rRNA from 1 species
AUUGAACGCUGGCGGCAGGCCUAACACAUGCAAGUCGGGCGCGCGGCGGACGGGUGAGUAAUGUAUGGGGAUCUGCCUGCUGGUGGGGGAUAACUCCUGGAAACGGUAGCUAAUAACGCAUACCAUCAGCUGACCCCCUAUGGGAUUAGCUAGUAGGUGAGGUAACGGCGUACCUAGGCGACGAUCCCUGGCUGGUCUGAGAGGAUGACAAGCCACACUGGGACUGAGACACGGCCCUGACGCAGACGGUAGGCAGGAGUGGGGAAUAGUGCACAAGGGGCGCAAGCCUGAUGCAGCCAUGCCGCGUUUAUGAAGAAGGCCUGCGGGUUGUAAAGUACUGUCAGUCGGGAGGCGUUACCCGCAGAAGAAGCACCGGCUAACUCCGUGCCAGCAGCCGCGGUAAUAC